AGUGAACGCUGGCGGCAGGCCUAACACAUGCAAGUCGAACGGCAGCACAGUGGAGCUUGCUCCAUGGGUGGCGAGUGGCGGACGGGUGAGGAAUACAUCGGAAUCUGCCCAGUCGUGGGGGAUAACAUAGGGAAACUUAUGCUAAUACCGCAUACGACCUACGGGUGAAAGCGGGGGAUCGCAAGACCUCGCGCGAUUGGAUGAGCCGAUGUCCGAUUAGCUAGUUGGCGGGGUAAUGGCCCACCAAGGCGACGAUCGGUAGCUGGUCUGAGAGGAUGAUCAGCCACACUGGAACUGAGACACGGUCCAGAAUCCUACGGGAGGCAGAAGUGGGGAAUAUUGGACAAUGGGCGCAAGCCUGAUCCAGCCAUGCCGCGUGGGUGAAGAAGGCCUUCGGGUUGUAAAGCCCUUUUGUCCGGAAAGAAAAGCCUCGGAUUAAUACCCUGGGGUGAUGACGGUACCGGAAGAAUAAGCACCGGCUAACUUCGUGCCAGCCGCCGCCGUAACAC
rnacentral:rRNA from 1 species